rnacentral:rRNA from 1 species
GUAGAGAGAAUGAUUAGAGCGCCUCGGGGACGCCCGUGUCACUCACCUCUUCUCAAACUACGAACGGACGAGAAGGAGCCUCUCCCGAUUCGGAGGCCUCCCGUAAGGAUGCAGAGUGGCGCGUGGGCCACUUUUGGUAAGCAGAACUGGCGCUGCGGGAUGAACCAACGCCGGGUUAAGGCGCCCGAUGCGGGACGCUCAGAGACCCAUAAAAGGUGUCGGUUGCUCUAUACAGCAGGACGGUGGCCACGGAAGUCGGCAUCCGCUAAGAGUGUGUAAACAACUCACCUGCCUAAGCAACCGGUCCUGAAAAUGGAUGGCGCUCCAGCGUCGAGCCCAUACCCGGCCCUUUCUCUAACGUCGAUAUUACGAGAAAGGAGUAGGAGGGUCGCGGCGGAGAGCGUAAGAAGUCAGGCGCGAACCCGACUGGAGCCUCCGCCGGUGCAGAUCUUGGUGGUAGUAGCAAAUAUUCGAGUGAGAACCUCGAAGACUGAAGCACGGAGAAGGGUUCCAUGUGAACAGCAGUUGAACAUGGGUGAGUCGGUCCUGAUUCACUUCCUAAUGGAAUACUUAAGACUUCUAUUAUUUGAGAUGAGAAGUAUUGGAGAAUGGGAAAAGGGUUAAUAUUCCCUUACCCGGACACGGAGAUAGGGGCACCCGUGUCCCAAGUGCGGUAACGCAAACGAACUCGGCGACGCCGUCGGAGGACCCGGAGAAGAGUUGACUUUUCUUCGUAAGAGCUCGUGUCCCUGGAAUCUCGUCACGAGGAGAUAGGGACGCUGUUCUCGUAAGAGCACGGUCGCUGCUGCCGUGUCCGGUGCGCCUCCGCCGGCCCUUGAAAAACCGAGGGAGAGAGUGUGAUUUUCGUGCCGGUCCGUACCCAUAUCCGCAGCAGGUCUCCAAGGUGAACAGCCUCUAGUCUCUAGAACAAUGUAGGUAAGGGAAGUCGGCAAGUUCGAUCCCUAACUUCGGGAAAAGGAUUGGCUCUUGUGUUUCCGUCCUCGCGGACCUCUUUUGCCGUAUUUCUUGCGCUUCUGCCGUGGGGACUGACCGCCCUCUCCGAGGCGUGGUCGGACCCCUACGCGGACGGAGGGAAGAGGAAAGAGGGUGGCCUCGCUCCUUCGAGAGCCGGGGCUUGUGCCGCGGGACAUCGUGGAAACGAACAAGAACUGGCACGGACUAGGGGAAUCCGACUGUCUAAUUAAAACAAAGCAUUGCGACGGCCGGAGAACGGUGUUGACGCAAUGUGAUUUCUGCCCAGUGCUCUGAAUGUCAAAGUGAAGAAAUUCAAUGAAGCGCGGGUAAACGGCGGAAGUAACUAUGACUUUCUUAAGGUAGCCAAACGCCUCGUCAUCUAAUUAGUGACGCGCAUGAAUGGAUUAACGAGAUUCCCACUGUCCCUAUCUACUAUCUAGCGAAACCACAGCCAAGGGAACGGGCUUGGCAAAUUCAUCGGGGAAAGAAGACCCUUUCGAGCUUGACUGUAGUCUGACUCUGUGGCGAGGCAUUAUUGGCGUAGUCUAGGUGGGAGUCUUUUCGUGAGGCGGGUCUGUGAAAUACCACUACUUUGAUCGCCUUGUUACUGAUUCGGUGAUGCUCUGUGGUCCUUCCUUCGGGAUGCGACGUGUUAUGUGAACUUAACCCGCGCUUCGUCGAAAGCGUCGGGGAAGAGCUCCGAAGACAGUGUCAGGCAGGCAGUUUGUCUGGGGCGGAACAUCUGUCAAAAGGCAACGCAGGUGUCCCAAGGCCGGCUCGGCCGGGACGGAAACCUGGCUUAGAGCAAAGGGGCAAAAGCCGGCUCGAUCUCGUUCUUCAGUAAGGAAGGGGACCUCGAAAGAGGGGCCCAUCGAUCCUUUCGAUGCGUGGGAGUCUCACGCGAGAGGUGUCAGAAAAGUUACCGGAGGGAUAACUGGCUUGUGGCGGCCAAGCGUUCAUAGCGACGUCGCUUAUUGAUUCUUCGAUGUCGGCUCUUCCUAUCAUUGCGAAGCAGAAUUCGCAAAGCGUUGGAUUGUUCACCCACUAACAGGUAACGUGAGCUGGGUUUAGACCGUCGUGAGACAGGUUAGUUUUACCCUCAUGAAGACGGGUCGUCGCGACGGUAAAAUCUGCCCAGUACGAGAGGAACCGUAGGUUCGGACAUUUGGUACUGCGCUCGGUGGUGCCGCCGGUGGCGCGAAGCUACCAUCCGCUCGGAUAACGGCUGAACGCCUCUAAGUCGGAAGCCGUCCCGAGAACGGUGAGGAUAUCAUUGUGUGCCCCUCGCGUCGAACGGCAGCUCUAGCCCCUCGAUGUUCCCCCCUCGGCCCCGCCGUCGGGGAGCGCGAGCGGGCGAAAGUGGCCCCUUCGCACGCCCGAGACCUCCGGGACCCUCCGUAGACUCCGAGGGUCCUGCUCCUGCGAGCCUGCCUCCGGGCAGACGAGUGAUGUGAGUGGGCGUAGAGUCGUCUGCAGACGACGUUCUUGCUGGACGGGGUGUCGUAAGUAGCAGAGCACCCACCAUAGUGCGAUCUACUGAGACUCAUCCCU